GACGAACGCUGGCGGCGUGCUUAACACAUGCAAGUCGAACGGAAAGGCCCUGCUUUUGUGGGGUGCUCGAGUGGCGAACGGGUGAGUAACACGUGAGUAACCUGCCCUUGACUUUGGGAUAACUUCAGGAAACUGGGGCUAAUACCGGAUAGGAGCUCCUGCUGCAUGGUGGGGGUUGGAAAGUUUCGGCGGUUGGGGAUGGACUCGCGGCUUAUCAGCUUGUUGGUGGGGUAGUGGCUUACCAAGGCUUUGACGGGUAGCCGGCCUGAGAGGGUGACCGGCCACAUUGGGACUGAGAUACGGCCCAGACUCCUACGGGAGGCAGCAGUGGGGAAUAGUGCAAAAUGGGCGGAAGCCUGAUGCAGCAACGCCGCGUGCGGGAUGACGGCCUUCGGGUUGUAAACCGCUUUCGCCUGUGACGAAGCGUGAGUGACGGUAAUGGGUAAAGAAGCACCGGCUAACUACGUG
rnacentral:rRNA from 1 species